rnacentral:rRNA from 1 species
AUGCCAGAUCCACAGGACGCCAGAUCCACAGCCAUCAAAGCCACCCAUGAGCACGUAGCCGCCACACCGCCGGCCAUGGAGGCUCCAAUCGCCGCCAUGCAGCAGGGUCGCCGCCCUGACUGCCACCUGUGUCGUCUACAAGCCCAUGGAUCCAGAUCGGGCCAGAUCCGGAUCCAGAUCGGCCGCGAUGCAGACACACCCCUCUCCACCGGGAGGUACUCCAGGCCGCCGCCCAUCCGCAGGGCCCUGAGCGCCGGCGUCCUCAACGCGCCCCACGCCGGCGAGCCGCCCAGGCGCAAGGAUGCUGCCCCACCGCAGCACCCCGAGCGAGGAGGAAAAAGGCCCCGCCGCCGCUGA